CAGCAGCCGCGGGAAUACGUAGGGUGCGAGCGUUAAUCGGAAUUACUGGGCGUAAAGCGUGCGCAGGCGGUUCGUUAAGACAGAUGUGAAAUCCCCGGGCUUAACCUGGGAACUGCAUUUGUGACUGGCGAGCUAGAGUAUGGCAGAGGGGGGUAGAAUUCCACGUGUAGCAGUGAAAUGCGUAGAGAUGUGGAGGAAUACCGAUGGCGAAGGCAGCCCCCUGGGCCAAUACUGACGCUCUUGCACGAAAGCGUGGGGAGCAAACAGGAUUAGAUACCCCGGUAGUCCCUGUCUCUUAUAC
rnacentral:rRNA from 1 species